GCACGAGUGGCGGAAUCGGUAUACGCAGCGGACUUAAAAUCCGCGGGCCCGCAAGGGUCGUCCGGGUUCAAGUCCCGGCUCGUGCA
rnacentral:tRNA from 1 species